CAAACUUGGAAAUAGCUGGUUCUCCCCGAAAUAUAUUUUGGUAUAGCCUUGCAACUUUAAGUAUCGGAGGUAGAGCACUGAAUGGGCUAGGGGUCUUACCAGACUACCAACCCCAACCAAACUCCGAAUGCCGAUAACUUCAAUUGCAGGAGUCAGACUGCGGGAGAUAAGUUCCGUGGUCGAAAGGGAAACAGCCCAGACCGCCAGCUAAGGUCCCCAAUACAUGCUAAGUGGAAAAGGAUGUGGAAGCGUAUAGACAGCCAGGAGGUUGGCUUAGAAGCAGCCACCCUUCAAAGAAAGCGUAAUAGCUCACUGGUCAAAUGAGUCUGCGCCGAAAAUUUAACGGGGCUCAAGCAUGUAACCGAAGCUGCGGACUUGCAUCGCAAGAUGGGAGUGGUAGGGGAGCAUUCUGUCGUAGGUUGAAGCCGGAUCGAAAGGCCCGGUGGACGAAACAGAAGAGAUUAUGCUGACAUAAGUAGCGAUAAAGUCUGUGAAAAACAGACUCGCCGAAAACCUAAGGUUUCCUGAGUAAAGCUAAUCUUCUCAGGGUUAGUCGAUCCCUAAGCCGAGGCCGACAGGCGUAGGUGAUGGGAAACAGGUUAAUAUUCCUGUACCACUGAAGACGCGUUAUCAACUAAGGGGGGACGUAGAAGGGUAAGCCAUCCGGGUGUUGGAUGUCCCGGUUCAAGCCCGUAGGGGGAGAUUCCAGGCAAAUCCGGAAUCUCAUUCAACUCCGAGAGGCGAUGAGGAGAGAUUUAUCUCAUAAACUGGCCGAUCCCAUGCUACCAAGAAAAUCCUCGUAGUGAGUUUCUUUGGUGAUCGUACCGCAUACUGACACAGGUAGGUGAGGAGAGAAUCCUAAGGCGCUUGAGUGAUCUCUCGUUAAGGAACUCGGCAAAAUGACACCGUAACUUCGGAAGAAGGUGUGCCUCGUUAGCGUGAAGCGAUUCGCACGUGAAGCGCGAAGAGGUUGCAAUAAAACGGCCCAAGCGACUGUUUAGCAAAAACACAGGACUCUGCUAAGUCGUAAGACGAUGUAUAGGGUCUGACGCCUGCCCGGUGCCGGAAGGUUAAGGGGAUUUGUUAGCCGCAAGGCGAAGCUUUGAACCGAAGCCCCGGUAAACGGCGGCCGUAACUAUAACGGUCCUAAGGUUAAAGUGAAAAACGCUAGCCUUAGUAAAACUAAACCAUAUGCGGGAAACUCCUCAACAGCCGUUCGAUACUCGUUUCGCGGACGACGCGGAACAGUAAAAAUUCGACGGACAGGGGGACAAUCCGCAGGGAAGGCCCGGAUCGUUUGAAAUCCGGGAACCCUCAGAGACUUGAUGUUUGGAGUUGACUUAUGAAUAUCAGUGCGGAAUGGAUCACAGGAUUUGUUGAUGGGGAAGGAUGCUUUCAUAUCGGCAUCAAUACUCAUGAUGAAAUGACGGCAGGUUUUCAGGUUUUACCGGAAUUCACCGUUGUUCAGCAUCAAAGAGAUGUGCAAAUCCUGCAUGCUCUGAAAGCGUAUUUCCAGUGCGGCGUCGUGAGGACCAAUCACGGUGACCGGAUGGCUUAUCGCGUAAGAGCAAAAGAGCAUUUGCUUGAAAAAAUUAUUCCAUUCUUCAUGAAGCACCCGUUGAAAUCAAAGAAACGCCAGGAUUUUUUAAAGUUCCGAAAGGUUGUUUUGAUGAUGGAAAAGGGUGAGCAUUUGACUGACGAGGGGAUUGAAAGGAUCCGUGAGAUAGCCGGUCAAAUGAAUCGAAGUCAAUUAAGGUAAAGUCCGUCCUUCUUGGAAAC
rnacentral:rRNA from 1 species